rnacentral:rRNA from 1 species
GUGAACGCUGGCGGUAGGCCUAACACAUGCAAGUCGAACGGCAGCACCGUAAGAGCUUGCUCUUACGGGUGGCGAGUGGCGGACGGGUGAGGAAUACAUCGGAAUCUACUUUUUCGUGGGGGAUAACGUAGGGAAACUUACGCUAAUACCGCAUACGACCUACGGGUGAAAGCAGGGGAUCUUCGGACCUUGCGCGAUUGAAUGAGCCGAUGUUGGAUUAGCUAGUUGGCGGGGUAAAGGCCCACCAAGGCGACGAUCCGUAGCUGGUCUGAGAGGAUGAUCAGCCACACUGGAACUGAGACACGGUCCAGACUCCUACGGGAGGCAGCAGUGGGGAAUAUUGGACAAUGGGCGCAAGCCUGAUCCAGCCAUACCGCGUGGGUGAAGAAGGCCUUCGGGUUGUAAAGCCCUUUUGUUGGGAAAGAAAAGCAGCAGGUUAAUACCCCGCUGUUCUGACGGUACCCAAAGAAUAAGCACCGGCUAACUUCGUG